GAUGAACGCUAGCGGCGGGCCUAAUACAUGCAAGUCGAACGGGAAAGGUGGCAACACCUUGAGAGUGGCGUACGGGUGCGUAACGCGUAUACAACCUGCCUGUUACACGGGGAUAGCCUUGCGAAAGCGAGAUUAAUACCCGAUGGUACUAUUGAGCGGCAUCGCUUGGUAGUUAAAGCUGAGGCGGUAACAGAGGGGUAUGCGUCCCGUUAGCUAGGUGGUAGUGUAACGGACUACCAAGGCGACGAUGGGUAGGGGUUCUGAGAGGAUGAUCCCCCACACUGGUACUGAGAUACGGACCAGACUCCUACGGGAGGCAGCAGUAGGGAAUAUUGGGCAAUGGACGGAAGUCUGACCCAGCCACGCCGCGUGAAGGAAGAAGGUCCUCUGGAUUGGAAACUGCUUUUCUUGGGGAAGAAAACCCUUCUGCGGAAGGAAUUGACGGUACUCAAGGAAUAAGCAUCGGCUAACUCCGUG
rnacentral:rRNA from 1 species